CCUACGGGUGGCAGCAGUGAGGAAUAUUGGUCAAUGGCCGGAAGGCUGAACCAGCCAAGCCGCGUGCGGGAGGGAGGCGCAGUGCGUCGCAGACCUCUUUUGCCGGGGGACAAAAGGCCGGACUCGUCCGGUCCUGUGGGUACCCGGUGAAAAAGCAUCGGCUAACUCCGUGCCAGCAGCCGCGGUAAUACGGAGGUGGCAAGCGUUGUCCGGAAUUACUGGGUGUAAAGGGAGCGCAGGCGGGAAGCCAAGUCAGCUGUGAAAAGUACGGGCUUAACUUGUAGACUGCAGUUGAAACUGGCUUUCUUGAGUGAAGUGGAGGUUGGCGGAAUUCGUGGUGUAGCGGUGAAAUGCUUAGAUAUUCGGAGGAACACCGGUGGCGAAGGCAGCCAACUGGGCUUUAACUGACGCUGAGGCUCGAAGGUGUGGGUAGCAAACAGGAUUAGAUACCCUAGUAGUC
rnacentral:rRNA from 1 species